rnacentral:rRNA from 1 species
GACGAACGCUGGCGGCGUGCUUAACACAUGCAAGUCGAACGGAGUGGCGAACGGGCGAGUAACACGUGGGUGACCUGCCCUGCACUUCGGGCUAAGCCUGGGAAACUGGGUCUAAUACCGCCUAGUUUGGGAUGGGCCCGCGGCCUAUCAGCUUGUUGGUGGGGUAAUGGCCUACCAAGGCGGCGACGGGUAGCCGGCCUGAGAGGGUGGACGGCCACAUUGGGACUGGGACACGGCCCAGACUGCUACGGGAGGCAGCAGUGGGGAAUAUUGCACAAUAGGCGGAGGAAUGAUGCAGCGACGCCGGGUGGGGGAUGACGGCCUUCGGGUUGUAAACUCCUUUCACCAUCGACGCGGUAGAUGGAGAAGAAGCACCGGCUAACUACGUGCCAGCCGCCGCGGUAAUAC